AACCUCCGCAAUGUGAGAAAUCGCGACGGGGGGAUCCCAAGUGCCAUUCUUAACGGGAUGGCUUUUCAUUAGUGUAAAGAGCUUUUGGAAUAAGGGCUGGGCAAGACCGGUGCCAGCCGCCGCGGUAACACCGGCAGCUCUAGUGGUAGCAGUUUUUAUUGGGCCUAAAGCGUCCGUAGCCGGUUUAAUAAGUCUCUGGUGAAAUCCUGUAGCUUAACUGUGGGAAUAGCUGGAGAUACUAUUAGACUUGAGACCGGGAGAGGUUAGAGGUACUCCCAGGGUAGAGGUGAAAUUCUGUAAUCCUGGGAGGACCGCCUGUUGCGAAGGCGUCUAACUGGAACGGUUCUGACGGUGAGGGACGAAAGUUAGGGGCGCGAACCGGAUUAGAUACCCGGGUAGUCCUAACUGUAAACGAUGCGGACUUGGUGUUGGGGUGGCUUUGAGCUGCUCCAGUGCCGAAGGGAAGCUGUUAAGUCCGCCGCCUGGGAAGUACGGUCGCAAGACUGAAACUUAAAGGAAGU
rnacentral:rRNA from 1 species